CUCUGGGGAGUUAGCAAAAUUUUAUUUUUUUUAUUUUUUUUUUUAAUUAUUUUUCAAACAUUGCCUCUACAAGCUAAUCACACUUCUCCAAGAAAAUAUCUUUGCCAUUACUACUAAGUAGGCACAUUUUAGAAACUUUGGAAAAAUGAACUCUGAAAUGAAAUCCAGAAACAAUUAAAUCAUCCAGUUCUGAAACCUUUUAAACCGAAGUUAUUUUCUCUGGUUUAUGGGUGUCUUCCCCAGUCUCUUCUGGAAUGCUUUGGGUUUUGCUUAAAAACAUUGCAGUAGUGGGAAAUGGUUUUGACAGAAUAUCCAGCCCUUUUUUUUGCAUGUCCUCAGCACAGAGGCAUCAACUAUUAGAAGAAAACCCCAAAUAUUUUCUGCCUGACGUGCUUCUCAUCUGCCACUGUUGUGGGCACUGGGAAAUGCAGGAACACUCUGCCCAGCUGCUGGCUGUGCCCUGACCCUGCCACUUGCUCUUCUUUCCCAGGGCGGCACAAACUCCAAGCUCAACAGAAGUUUCAUGGUCCAGUUUUUCAGGCCCACACAUGCCACAAGCCACACUACAAAGUCCAGCUUUGGCUCUGAGUCCUUGGGGGUGCUGAUGGGGGCCUCCAUGGGCCACCUAGUCCUGCACCUUGCAUCUCUCCUAACCCUCAUCCACAGGACAUUUGCAGCUCUCUUAGGAGUUGCUGGAGUCCCAGCAUGCCACUACUGUUUGACCUGAAUCUCUAGCCCUUCUGUACUUCCCUUCUCUCUCCUGCCCAUAAUUAGGGGCGGAUCUCAGACAACAGGAACAAGUAGGGGUGGGAAUGUUGAUGUGGCUCAGGCUAGCUAAGGAGGAGUUCAGUGAUGGACUUGCACAGCAAGGACUAGGGUGGCUGUGCUCUGGGAUGGCUGUGAUCUCCCUGAAGAAUUCCCCUUCUGGACCUGCGGUUCUUCACCAUGUACCAGACUCAGAUCCCAAGAAGCUCCAAGCCAUGUGUGGCUUGGCCUGCUCAUCUCAAGCUGGAGGUUCCUGAUGAAGCUCCUGUUACCUUCCACCGUGGCCCAGAGCAGGGACCUGGCUCUGCCUGCAUCUCCUUGGGCAGAGGUAUUUCCAACUGCCAGCAUAACAUCACUUUUCUCCUCCAGCACAGAUGCACAAGCAGUGAAGCUCUGUCAAAUCAUAGGGGUUUAUCUGCUUUGCCCCAUGAGAAAUCUAUUUUUCUUCCUUUGUUUGGUGACCUGAGCCUUAUCCCAGCUGGUGAAGAGCUGGUUUAUGAUUCAUGACUGGAAAGAGAGGCUGAAUCAGAGAGUUUUGGCAGCAGCCAGGCUGAAGGUGGGGCUUGAGGAUGGUACUGGCUGCAGGAGCUAUGAAGGGUCAAGCAGCCCACCAGGAGGGUCCCCAACUGUUCCCAAGCCACCUGCACCUUUCCUAGAGGCAACCCUUGCUGGCAUUGAGAUUUCUCUGCAUGGUGCCUUGGUCCUAGGAGGGCUUUUUCUCUCAGAGGGAGGUUUGCAUGGAAAUAACUUGAUGUGGGAAUCUGCUCUUUGCACUGAGGGGGUUAAAGUCUGCUCCCUCCUUCCAGGCUGACCGUGGAAAAUACUGCUCAUGCCAGGGACUAUGCAGGACAGAAACUAGGGCUCCUAGGAUACAAUUAUACAAAUAAUACAACUUGUUCCACGAGCGGCGGAAACCAGCAAAGCCUGAUUUCCGAUGGGUUUAUGUUGUGGGGUAAAGGGCGUGCAGGAGCUUUCACUGGCCAGUAAAAGCUAAACACACACCAUCACCUCAUCAGCCACCAAACUUCACAAAACUUACAUUCCCAUAAUAGCUGGGAGUCCCUGUACAGUGUGGCUGAAAGUGUCCAAAAAGAAAGAGAGUUGGAGAGGAGGGGUGCAGGGGUGGUAUGGCAGUGAGAACCUUGUUUCUUUAGAAAAUCAGGUUGUAAAAAUGAGGAUGCAGGCAGACAAACUCUGGGCUAGUUUAAUGAUGUUUUCAUCAUUUUCUACCUCAAACUAUGUGUCUACUUUGUGAUGAUGAUCAUUUUGCCAGGGCCAAAGGCACUCAAAGGCAGAGGUUUUACAUGACCAUGUGGCAUGGGGUGCUUUGGGCCCACAGGGAGAAGUGUUGUUCUGUUUGGCAGUCUGGAUUUUGGCCUUGGAGAAACUUGUGUCCCAUUUCCUGUUUCAGCCCAGACCUGGCCUUUUUGCUUUGAUUGUCCCUGAGUCUCAGACCUUGGGAUAUCUGGUGGUCAAUAUGUGCUAAAAGCAGAGCCCUGCCCCUGUCCUCUGCACCAGGCAUGAAUGACCCCUGAGCUGUAUCUGACACUGAGAAGAUGCAACUGUCCCAUAUCCAGCUUCUGGUGACCACUUAAAGAAACCAGCAGCUUAGUUUUCUACUUUUUUCCUGCCGGGAUCACGUCACAUUUGAUUUCUAGGAGACAAUACACGUGUGAUGGAGAUGUUCAGCAGAUACAUGCUGGAGCCUCAUAGGAGCCAGACCUUCAUCUGUUUGUCACAAGUCCCUUCUUAGGAGCAGCACCAGCUCAUGUCACCCUUUGAGGGAUAGAGGAGCAGUGGAGAUGAGGAAGAGUUUUCUAACUAAACCCAACAGAGACGUGCUUGAUGAUUUUUGUCAGGAUAUGGUGAAGGCUCCUUGGUGACACACUAGUGGGGGGGAGGGGGAGUUUCUGUGUCAUUUUCAUGAGAGUGGCAGUGGGGCCACUGGUGUGCUUUGACUCUGAGCCACCCACCCUUGGGGAGAGGUCCCAACAGAACUUGGUGUCCUGUGAGUGAGGGGGGGCUGGGAGAGCCCUGGUCUUGUUCCCACUCACCUGGGUAGGAAGCAGUGUGGUCCAUACCCUGCCCCACUCUCCUGAGCCAGCCGUGGGAGUUGUGAUUCUGGUGUGCUCCUUGACAAUUUGUCUCUGGGUUUGAGAGGCUGUGCCCAGCCAGGUGGGCCCUGCUGGCAGCACAGCCCAGAGCCGUGGCCUUGGCAGGAGGUGACACAGCUGAGGUGACUCGUUACUGCCAGCACACAAGACACUGCUGGGGUGCUCAUUAACACAGGGAGGAGAGGGUCUCGAGGUAAACAGAGCAAGGCUGGCAGAUGACUGUGCCAUCUCUGCACAACCUCGUCUAAGCCUAUUUAUAUAAAUCAUGUGAAACCCAAAUUAGAAUUUUAUCCAUCUGCUGUGCUGUAAGUCGCUCUUCCACCAGCACAGCAAGCCAAGAAAAUGCUCUUAACUCCCUAAGAUCUGUCUCAAGUGUGAGCAAGUUUUGUAUACAUGGCCCAUGGCUGGUGUGGGGGUGCUAUGCUGCACAUCCUGCAAGGCUGCAGGACAGGCGGACACCAGGCCCUCCAGCAGACAGCAGUGUCAGGACAUCAAAGGCGAGCCAGACAGAGGUGUGGAUGUUCAGAGAGAAGUCUCCAAGGCUCCUCACUGUGUGUGGGAGGACAAGGGCUCACCUCUGCCCCAUGUGUGAAACAACCAUGGCUGAAAGUGUGGAGCAUGACCACCUCUGCCUGAUUCCCGUCCCGAUGCUGAGGCCCAAAGACUGAACUUAGAGUGAACUUGCCAUGGUUUGGCACAACAAGGAAGGUCAGGAAAUGCUCUCUGCUCUUUCCAUGUGUCCUACUUGUAACAAAGCUGUACUUUCAGCCUUUCCUUCAGGGAGGCUGUUACCCUUUGCUUUGCAGAUACCCAGUGCUCUACAUGGGACAGCUCCUUGGAGGAGUCACACCCAGGUAACCCCAGCAUGGCCACAGCUCUGUGCCUGCCUUCAUGUGUGGUCACUGAACCUGCCACUCCUCUGGGAGCACACACUUGUGGGAGCAUCCCAGGGCCGCUCCUGUGGGAGCACACACUUGUGGGAGCAUCCCAGGGCCGCUCCUGUGGGAGCACACACUUGUGGGAGCAUCCCGGGGCCGAUGACUCGGGCGGCCAGCCGCUGCCCUGGCAGCCAGCAUGGGGCUGGCCCGGCCACAGCACAGCAAUUUCUAGGAAACACGUCUGCCUCCUCACACUGGAGGUCCUUGAUGGAGAUGAUGACUCACCAAGGGGUCAUUCCACCUCUUUACCCACCACUGUUAUGAUAUGCCUUUCUUGGCAUUUAGUGCUUUUCCUGUCAUUAAAAAUAAAACAAUUUAAAAAAUAUUAUUAUUAUUAUUAUUUUUUAUUUCCCCCUCAUCCAAUUGAGGAUUUCAGUGAACAGUUUGGGGGUAAACAAGCAGAGAUGACACUGUGGAAGAACAGUUGGUCAAGUUUGUGAGAGAUGGAGCCAGAUCUAAAUAUGGCACAGCCUCGCUGGUACGGAGCAGAAGGAAGGAGGCAUAUGUGUCUGAGCAGUUGGAUUGCUGCACGCUCUGUUAGAUUUCCUUAACAUCAAGUGCAUAUCUUCCUCUUUUCUUUCCUUUUUAGUAUAAAAAAAAGGAGUAGAAGCUCACCAAAAAUGUCUUUGUGUGGAAAUAGGGAAGGGCUAAGAGGAGGUGAUGGACCCUCUCCAUCCCCUGGCUCAGUUUACAGGUGCAGGCAGAUGUGUCUGCAUGAGAUGCUCCUCUGCAAGGACCAAACCAACAUGCCAUCCCAAAAUUCAGCCUGGCAAAGGCCUUCUCCCAUGUGACCUCCAUGCUGCUUGGCAUUGAUGGAAUGACUGCUUUGGGCCAUGUAUCCCACAGAAUCCAAGACCUGCAGGAGGGAGGGCACCACCGGUGUUCAUCUGGAGAUGCUGCCCACUCUUGGCCUCUCAGCUGGGCCUCUGUCCACCAGGGGCAAGAUGGACCAGGUGCUCUGGGCUGUGCCCUCAGUCUGGGUGUCUCCUCCAAAAUCCCAGGCCACUGUGCUGACAACAGAAAACCCAAUUCCCUCUAGCAGUUAGCUCCUCCUGGGAAGUACAUCUUCACACCCCACUGGCUGCAUCAGCUUUUUGAGCCCCUUUGUCUGCUGACAAAAAGCCUGCAGAGAAAUCAAUGUCCUUAGAGUGUGUUCAGUGCUGGAAAGAGCUGCACAAGGAUUUCAAUCUCCCUUUGUGGAUGACUGUGGAGACAACCAGAGGUCAGGUUAUGCCAGGGACACAACGUGCUGCUGGAUGCACACUGCCAGUCCUCAUGUGGCUCCUGCCUGUCCUGGUGGGCAGCUCAACCCCUGGGCUGGGGAACUGAAGCUUUCUUGUCUGUGGGAUGCUCUUGCUGCAUUUUCCCACACCCAGGGAAAAGCAGGGAGCUGGAAAGGAGAAGCCAAAGGUGAGGAUGUUUGCAAGCAGCUUCAGCCAGGGCUGUGCAGAACAUGACCUGCACUAAAAAGUCACUAUUUGCCAGCAAAUAACAUAGGGCUUUCUUUUUGUUUAAUUGCCUCGGUCUUCUUAAUUGCAUUUUAGAUCAGAGACCCCAAAAUCCUCAGCACAGGAGAAAGAGCUACAAAGAGACAAUGGAGCAAGGCAGGUCCUAGAGGUUGUGCUGCCUGGUGUGUGCCAGCAAUGUCAGCUGCCUUAGAGCAGCACCUCAGCUACUUCUCCUGCCCUCUGAAGACUUGUGUGAAAAUGACCAAGAUACAAAGGGCCCAGGGUGCUCCUGGAAGAGGAAAAGCCAAUUGGUGUUGCUUGAAUGAAGAGGCUGAGGACAGUGCCCAAGUGUCUGCACUCACAUCCUGGAAAAUCCUGGAGAUUGAUCCUGGUUUGGUCACCCACUGAUGAGCUAAUUUUUAACACCAACCAUGAACAUCUCACUGCUGGAAUUGCGGUGUGCCCGGUCCUCAGCAAGCAUGUGAGCGAGCGAAUCACUCCAGCAGCGUGGAUCGUUCUUCUGCACCCAUUGUUAUGGAAAUCGCCUUAGAGACUGUUGCUCCAGCAAACAUUUUUAGAAGCACGAGUGAGUUGCGCAACAGGAAAGCUGCUUGAAGGUGAGGAAAACCCCCCUCCAGGCUCUCAGCACUGCCCCUUCCUCCAGCGGCGCAGUGGAGCCCUGCUGGCUCUCCUGGUGGGGAUGGGAUUUAGGGUGGGGACGGGAUUUAGGGUGUUCCUUUGCCUGGUAAAGCAGGGAGAAAGUGCUUCUGGAGGAGAAGCCCCUUCUGCGUCAGUCUCCAAGGAAACCCUUGGUGUUGCGUGGCUCAGCCUUCGUUGCAUGCCUGGGCAGAAGCUCACACAUCCCAGACUUGUGCCUGAAUCAUACAUCCACACUUUGAUCUGCUAGUGGCGUUUUAUGGGUGCAAAAUUUAGGCAAAUUGUGGGGUUUUCCUACCCCUACGUGCCACUUUAUCUCAGAGAGCCUCAUGGUUGGAUUUGGUGUGCAGCACAAGUGAAACCAGCCCUAUCUCUGUUUCAAAUGCACAUUCCUCACCACUGACUCUGGAAGGAGAAGCCUUCUAAUGCCCCCACACCUCCCAGCUUCUCGAGAGUAAGCCUGGGAGCUGUGGUGGUUGCAGGGAGGUUUGGGCAGCAGGUGCUUCCAGGUGUGCUGUCACCAGCCUGGGUACUUGCCUGAGCCAGGGCAGGUCACCCCUCUGCCCCCUGCCUGGUGAGAAGCAGGAGGGGUAGAGGAGAGCAAGUCACUGCCCCAAAAGCUUCCAAACACCCACAGGGCAGUUUCACUGCUCACCCCCCAUUUGUGCUCAAACAUCCAGCCCUGAGUUUUAAUUUUAAAAAUAAUCUCUUCUUGUUGCAAUUAACUACAAACAAUUGCUUCUCUUGAGUUUGCUCAUGCUCCUCAUCACUGCCUGCUGUGGAGCAGGACCAGCUCUCCAGCCUGUGCCCAGGAGCUCCGAGCAGCCUCAGCUGAUGGAAGGGGAAAAGCACAGAUCCAGUGACCUUUGUUUGCCUCACUGCUGCCCACAGCCCCUGCCUGAGAUUUGAGGAGUGCUCUUAGGAAAAAAGUACCAUUUCUGGCACGCUGGCCCUGCUGCUGAAGAACUGUUCCUCUUCCACCUCCUUCACCUGCUGGGAUUAAUAGCUACAGGUGACGCGUCUGGAGCCUGUCCCGAAACUGAUGUGGUUGCUGAUGUGACCGCAGAAUGGAGGUGAAACAUUUCUCUUCUGGUUUCACAGGACCACGCGCUGGCGGCUACACCUGCCUCCCUCGCACCGCCAAAAAGGAUCGCUGUAAGAUUUCUGGGCUGUUUUCAGCACAACAGGGACUUUAGACCCAGAUUUUAGUCCUUUGCACAAGCCGCUGCUGUUCCCCUUGUGAAUUGAAGGUGCCUCGAUAAACAUUCUGAAAGGUCAGCUAUUUUCACUGUGCCUGUGGCUUGCAUAAGAACCUCAACAUCCUCUGCUGCAAAGAGCAGUGUUAGGAACUUCCUACUGCCACACUGAAUCACAAUAGCUUCCCACAGCAACCAGUGGUAAAAAUAAACUGGGCAAGGGGAAGUGGACAGCUUCUGCUGUUCCGCUUUCUUGGGCACACUUGAGUCACAAAAAAAGCGAUGUAGAACAAGACAUUUAUUUUGCUGAUGCCAAUGAAAUCCAUGAAUGGUUCAGAGCACGGUCCCGCUGAAAUCAGAGUGUUUUGCAAUGAGAUGCUUGCUGUGCUCAAAGUUAAGCAUGCGCUUAAAUGCUUUCUUAAGCCGGCAUUUUUAUUUAGGAUCCAACCUUAGGAAUUAGACCAAAAGGAAGGACCCCUGCACAUCCAAGUGCUGCCUUUGUACUAAAGGCACAGGAAUAUUUCAUGUGUUAAGGGUCUAUAAAAGACCACCGAGGAGACAGUGGCACUGAAAUGGUUUCAGUAGUAGAUCUCAGCUUUGAGAAAAGCAGAUUUUGACCAGAAAAGCAUCUUCAAAUACAAAUCAAUUUGAAGUUCUGCCUAGAGACAAUGCCAUUUGAACAGCACAGUUCUCAACAACAUUACGACUAAGACUCUGUGUGUGCACGUGUUUGUUUGCGUGUCGGGGAGUGUUUUAAGAGCAAUAUUUUUCCUGUUACACAAGGUACAGCCCAGUUCUGGCUGAAAUUCAGCCAGCUGGGAAAAAAAACAAAACUUGAGGAGACCUAGUCAGGUUGCUGAGCCUGGGAAUCUUCUGGUGAAAGAGACCUGCCUCUUCCCUUCAAACAGUGUGUGCUGACAAAGUUGAUAUUAAGAGGCUAAAGAGAUGAAAAGUUAGAGGCAAAAAAAAAUAAUGAAUGGCUUAUCUCCCCAGACUGGGGAGAAGAAAUGGUUCCCACUCAUGCUUAUAAGAAUUUGGAGAGCAAGGGCUUGUAGGAUAACCCAGGUGAGAAGAGACCACAAGAGAGCUCCAGUCAAACCUCUGGCUGGAAGCUGGGUCAGCCCUGAGGGCAGGCCAGGUUACCUGGGGAUGUGUUGAGCUGGAUCUUGAAAUCUAUCGAGGAUGGAGAUUGCACAACCUCUCUGAGCAAUCCACCAAUGUUUGACUGCCUGCAUGGUGAAAAUAGACUGCAGUAGAAGUGGCUCAUACAGAACCACAUUUUUAAUGUCAUCCCGCUCAUUAAAAAGAGAAAGAUCAAAUCUAUUUUGUAACAGGGAACAGUUUGUGUGAGGCACGGAAAACUUCUGGUACCAGAGGACUGAUUCACACGAGAAGGAAUGUAAAAGAUGGAAGGAAACCCAAGGGUGCCUCCAGUUACAUUCCUGUCUUGAAAUGUUACUGUUGCAGCACAAAAGGUUUGUAUUUAUAGUAGUGGAUGCCAACAGGAAAAGAUACUCUAAAAAUAAACAAGGAUGCACGGAUAAAAACA